rfam:Trichoderma gamsii strain T6085 Scaffolds0040.1, whole genome shotgun sequence.
GACACUUUGGCCGAGUGGUUAAGGCGAUGCCCUGCUAUCAAUCUGAUAUUAUAGGCAUUGUGUUCGCACGCGCAGGUUCGAAUCCUGCAGGUGUCG